AGCAGCUUGCUGCUUCGCUGACGAGUGGCGGACGGGUGAGUAAUGUCUGGGAAACUGCCUGAUGGAGGGGGAUAACUACUGGAAACGGUAGCUAAUACCGCAUAACGUCGCAAGACCAAAGAGGGGGACCUUCGGGCCUCUUGCCAUCGGAUGUGCCCAGAUGGGAUUAGCUAGUAGGUGGGGUAACGGCUCACCUAGGCGACGAUCCCUAGCUGGUCUGAGAGGAUGACCAGCCACACUGGAACUGAGACACGGUCCAGACUCCUACGGGAGGCAGCAGUGGGGAAUAUUGCACAAUGGGCGCAAGCCUGAUGCAGCCAUGCCGCGUGUAUGAAGAAGGCCUUCGGGUUGUAAAGUACUUUCAGCGGGGAGGAAGGCGACAGGGUUAAUAACCCUGUCGAUUGACGUUACCCGCAGAAGAAGCACCGGCUAACUCCGUGCCAGCAGCCGCGGUAAUACGGAGGGUGCAAGCGUUAAUCGGAAUUACUGGGCGUAAAGCGCACGCAGGCGGUCUGUCAAGUCGGAUGUGAAAUCCCCGGGCUCAACCUGGGAACUGCAUUCGAAACUGGCAGGCUAGAGUCUUGUAGAGGGGGGUAGAAUUCCAGGUGUAGCGGUGAAAUGCGUAGAGAUCUGGAGGAAUACCGGUGGCGAAAGGCGGCCCCCUGGACAAAGACUGACGCUCAGGUG
rnacentral:rRNA from 1 species